rnacentral:rRNA from 1 species
GGAGGCUCUGAUCCAGCCAUGCCGCGUGCAGGAAGAAUGCCCUAUGGGUAGUAAACUGCUUUUAUACGGGAAGAAAAAAGGCUACGUGUAGCCUACUGACGGUACCGUAAGAAUAAGGACCGGCUAACUCCGUGCCAGCAGCCGCGGUAAUACGGAGGGUCCGAGCGUUAUCCGGAAUUAUUGGGUUUAAAGGGUCCGUAGGCGGGCGAUUAAGUCAGUGGUGAAAGUCUGCAGCUCAACUGUAGAAUUGCCUUUGAUACUGAUCGUCUUGAGUUAUGGUGAAGUUGCCGGAAUAUGUAGUGUAGCGGUGAAAUGCAUAGAUAUUACAUAGAACACCGAUUGCGAAGGCAGA